GCGGGAGUAGCUCAGUGGUAGAGCACAACCUUGCCAAGGUUGGGGUCGCGGGUUCGACCCCCGUCUCCCGCU
rnacentral:tRNA from 1 species